CCCAAGUUGAUAAAGAAAAAAUAAACUAAAGAAUAAAUAAAUGCAAUAAAAUUAAAUUCUUUUGCUUAAGAACCAACCAAAUAAAAUGCAAACCCUUUAUCGAAACCUUGUUCUGCCAUCGCUCAUCACAUUCCAAAAAAGCGCGUCCGACACAAAGAAAAGCAUAAUCCAAGUCGAAAAGGUCCCAAACGUGCAACUAACAAACACGGCCUUGUCCUCGAAUAGAGUUUGAUUUUGAUUGCGAAACAAACACGGAUCAGGGUGAAGAAGAAGACGAAGGAAGCAGAAAACGACGACGUAGAUCGAGGAUGGUGCUGAACAGCAACGUGGUGGCGAGAGUGGCGCACGCAUCAGCGCAUCUUUUCCAAUUCAUAGCUUGCAAUCCCGAGAGGCUUAGCAGCGACGUCGUUUUGCACCUCCUCUUCUGCCUCCCUUUCCACUACCUCUUCCGCUCUCUCUUUUCCUACCUUGGCUAUCGUCAUCCACAUUCCGAUUGAGAAUAUCCUCUCUGGUAUGUUUGGCUUCCCAUGAACGACACCAUACAUGUUCUGUGGUAUUCGAGCCAUUGCUUGUUACAAAUUAUCAAAGCUGUGUCCUUCCUGCCUCCCAUGCUACCCAGUUCUAAGUAUUUGUUUCGAAAGAAAAAGUAAAAAGUGAGGUGAAAAAAACAAGAAAAAUGGAAUAGAAAGUAAAAUUAUUUGAAUAAAAGGAAUGAUACUUGAGAGAGGAGAAAGUAAUGAAAAAAAUUAUAAAUAAAUGACAGUG
rnacentral:sRNA from 1 species